UACAGAGGUCUCAAGCGUUGUUCGGAUUCAUUGGGCGUAAAGGGUGUGUAGGUGGCGCCGUAAGUCGGGGUGUGAAAUUUCGGAGCUUAACUCCGAAACUGCAUUCGAUACUGCCGUGCUUGAGGACUGGAGAGGAGACUGGAAUUUACGGUGUAGCGGUGAAAUGCGUAGAUAUCGUAAGGAAGACCAGUGGCGAAGGCGGGUCUCGUGGACAGUUCCUGACGCUGAGGCACGAAGGUCAGGGGGAGCAAACGGG
rnacentral:rRNA from 1 species